rnacentral:tRNA from 1 species
GGGGUUGUGGCUCAGUGGAAGAGCACUCACCUAGCAAGUGUGAGGCAUUGGGUUUGAUCCUUAAUACCA